CCAAUCACUGGACUUAUACCAAUCUCCUAAAACAAAGUUAGAUAUCAGAGGCCACUCUAUGGACUUAUACCAAUCUCCUCAACAAAGAAAUAAAAAGUGGAUACCGGAUGCCAAUCUAUCUGGACUUAUACCAAUCUCCAACAUAACAAAGCAAACACUUGGAUGUCAGAUGCCAAUUUAUCUGGGCUUACUCUAACCUCCAACAUAUGAUCAUAGGAAAACAAAUGCCAAAUU
rnacentral:lncRNA from 1 species